rnacentral:rRNA from 1 species
CCUGCCCUGUGACUAUAAUGUUUAACGGCCGCGGUAUUUUGACCGUGCGAAGGUAGCGCAAUCACUUGUCUUUUAAAUAGGGACCUGUAUGAAUGGCAUAACGAGGGCUUAACUGUCUCCUUUUUCAAGUCAAUGAAAUUGAUCUCCCCGUGCAGAAGCGGGGAUGAAACCAUAAGACGAGAAGACCCUGUGGAGCUUUAGACGUCAGGGCAGAUCAUGUUAAGAACCCCUAAACACAGGUCCAAACUAAAUGAAACCUGCCCCCAUGUCUUCGGUUGGGGCGACCAUGGGGUAGAAAAAACCCCCCACGCAGAUAGGGAGUACUUUACUCCUAAAACCAAGAGCUUCCGCUCUAACAAACAGAAUCUCUGACCUAAAGAUCCGGCGAAGCCGAUCAACGGACCAAGUUACCCCAGGGAUAACAGCGCAAUCCUCUUUUAGAGCCCAUAUCGACAAGAGGGUUUACGACCUCGAUGUUGGAUCAGGACAUCCUAAUGGUGCAGCCGCUAUUAAGGGUUCGUUUGUUCAACGAUUAAAGUCCUACGUGAUCU